UGCGUAGGCGGACUAAUAAGUCAGUGGUGAAAUCUCUCGGCUCAACCGGGAAACUGCCAUUGAUACUGUUAGUCUUGAGUUCGGUUGAGGUAGGCGGAAUGUGUAAUGCAGCGGUGAAAUGCUUAGAUAUUACACAGAACACCAAUUGCGUAGGCAGCUUACUAGACCGACACUGACGCUGAGGCACGAAAGCGUGGGUAGCGAACAGGAUUAGAUACCCUGGUAGUCC
rnacentral:rRNA from 1 species